GGCUCGAAGGACGAACGCUGGCGGCGCGCUUAACACAUGCAAGUCGAGCGAGAACCAGGGCUUCGGCCCUGGGGAAAGCGGCGAACGGGUGAGUAACACGUGAGUAAUCCACCCUCGGUACCGGGAUAGCCCGGGGAAACCCGGAUUAAUACCGGAUGGCCCGACAGCCUUUCGAGGCGGUCGGAAAAGGUAGCUUCGGCCUCCGACCGAGGACGAGCUCGCGGCGGAUUAGCUUGUUGGCGGGGUAACGGCCCACCAAGGCGACGAUCCGUAGCUGGUCUGAGAGGACGAUCAGCCACACUGGGACUGAGACACGGCCCAGACUCCUACGGGAGGCAGCAGUGGGGAAUCUUGCGCAAUGGGCGAAAGCCUGACGCAGCGACGCCGCGUGCGGGAAGAAGGCCUUCGGGUUGUAAAGUUCUUUUAGUAGUGAAGAUGAUGACAGUAGCUACAGAAAAGCACCGGCUAACUUCGUGCCAGCCGCUGC
rnacentral:rRNA from 1 species